rnacentral:rRNA from 1 species
GAUGAACGCUGGCGGCGUGCCUAAUACAUGCAAGUCGAGCGAACAGACGAGGAGCUUGCGCGUCGGACGUGAGCGGCGGAGGGGUGAGUAACACGUGUAUAAUCUACCUAUAAGACUGGGAUAAUUUCGGGAAACCGGAUCUUAUACCGGAUAAGAUAUUGAACCGCAGGGUUGAAUAGUAAAAGACGGUGGUGGGGGCUGUUAUAGAGGGAUCCGCGCCGAAUUAGGUGGUUGUUAAGGUAACGGCUUACCAAGGGAACGAUGCGUAGCCGAACUGAGAGGGUGAUCGGCCACCCUGGAACUGAGACAGGGACAAGACUACUACGGGAGGCAGCAGUCGGGAAUGUUCCGCAAUAGGCGAAAGCUUGACGGAGCGACGCCGCGUGAGUGAUGAAGGUCUUGGGAUCGUAAAACUCUGUUAUUAGGGAAGAACAAAUGUGUAAGUAAAUAUGCACGUCUUGACGGUACCUAAUAAGAAAGCACCGGCUAACUACGUG